rnacentral:rRNA from 1 species
AACAUUGGACAAAGGGGGCAACCCUGAUCCAGCCAUGCCGCGUGCGUGAAGAAGGUCUUCGGAUUGUAAAGCACUUUAAGUUGGGAGGAAGGGCUUUAGGCUAAUACCCUGAAGUUUUGACGUUACCAACAGAAUAAGCACCGGCUAACUCUGUGCCAGCAGCCGUGGUAAUAAGGAGGGGGCAUGCGUUAACCGGAAUUACUGGGGGUAAAAGGGGGGGAGGUGGGUCAGUAAGAUGGGUGUGAAAUCCCCGGGCUUAACCUGGGAACUGCUUUCAUAACUGGGGGGCUAGAGUACGGGAGAGGGUAGUGGAAUUUCCUGUGUAGCGGUGAAAUGCGUAGAUAUAGGAAGGAACACCAGUGGCGAAGGCGACUACCUGGACUGAUACUGACACUGAGGUGCAAAAGCGUGGGGAGCAAACA